GCUAAGUUUGCAACACCAUUUUCACCUGCGGAAGAGGUAAACGCUUAGAAAUAAAUACUAGGAAAAUAUGUUGUUACUGGAGCUAGUAGGCUGCCAUCAAAACGUGGACUAUGUAAUCAGAAAUGUGUUUACAACGCG